UGCCGUGAUAAACCGGAGGAAGGUGGGGAUGACGUCAAAUCAUCAUGCCCUUUAUGACCUGGGCUACACACGUGCUACAAUGGCCUAUACAAAGGGUAGCGAAGCUGUGAGGUGGAGCCAAUCCCAAAAAGUAAGGUCUCAGUUCGGAUUGUAGGCUGCGACUCGCCUACAUGAAGUCGGAAUCGCUAGUAAUCGCGGAUCAGCAUGCCGCGGUGAAUACGUUCCCGGGCCUU
rnacentral:rRNA from 1 species